CGAGUUGGCCGGGCGGCCGCGGCGACGAGCGAUCGUCGUCGAGGAAAGUCCGGACUCCACAGGGCAGGGUGGUUGCUAACGGCAACCCGGAGUGAUCCGCGGGACAGUGCCACAGAGAACAGACCGCCUCGCACCCACGUGCGGGGUAAGGGUGAAACGGUGGUGUAAGAGACCACCAGCACCCCGGGUGACCGGGGUGGCUCGGUAAACCCCACCCGGAGCAAGACCAAGAGGCGCCACCCCGGUGGCGCUGCGCAGGCGCUUGAGGGCGGCCCGUCCGAGCCUGCGGGUAGGUCGCUAGAGCCCAUCGGUGACGGUGGGCCCAGAUGGAUGGUCGCCGAUCGGUGUCCCCGUAAGGGGCCCGUGAACAGAAUCCGGCUUACAGGCCAGCUCGCCCG
rnacentral:RNase_P_RNA from 1 species